AGCCUUUCUAAUGCUGGGCGAAGAGAGAGAGAAAUAUUCCCAUCCGCGCCCCUUACGUUUACAUUGUGUCAUCUCUAUCUGUUUCCCUUUUUCCCGAGCUUUCAUUUGAAAUUGAUGGGGUUUUUAGGCUGACAAGUUCGUAUUGAACUUCACAGGGCCGAGUUGAUAGUAGCCUGCCGAUGCUGAUACCAAAAGUGAGGCAAUCCGAUAUAUGGAUGGGCGAUUUUUUUUUUUAAGUCAACGUAGCUACCUCGCAACGCUUGCAUGGACUUUGUCGUGACGCAUAGUACCUGAAAUAGCACCUGAACCGCACCAACUUUUUGCUAGCAUCCGCUGGACUCACGACGGAGGAUAUUCAGCUGCCCAGAAACAAUAAGCAAAUGAGUAGCCAAUUUCGAUCAAGAAUAAAUUAGGAAGACGGUAUUCAAACGAUAUUGAAAACAAGCGUAACAUAUUUAAAAUGGUACCCUGCAGCAGC
rnacentral:sRNA from 1 species